UUCCUGUUCCGUCCCUGCGGCCGCGGAGCUCUCGGAAAGAUGACAUGUGUGCAGACAUGUACAAGACCUCCUGGGGCGGGGGAGGGGGGGGGAUAGAGGGAAGGUACAAGAACCCUUGGAGAAGGUGGGGCAUGGCCUUUUUCCCCUGAAAGGUCUGAUGUGCUGCAUCAUAAAAAAGUAUUCCUUGCAUCUGAAUCAAACCUUUUUUUAAUCCUU